CUUAUAUUAGCUUUCAGUGGGUAGUAGUUCUGACAAAGAGAAAAGAAGCUAGUAGAAAAUAACAGCUAAUAACCUGUCAUUCUUGGAGCUAAUGAGGUGAAUUUUGAUUCAUGUAUCAGUAUCUAGAGAUCACAAUAACAGCGACUUUCCUUAUCUACAGCUGCGUCUUCAAAACCUGUCUUAAAAUUGAAGAAAGGCGAAUGAAGAUAAACUGUAUGAAAUAAAGUCAAUGUGGAAACAUCUUUCUCAGAGGAGUGGCAGGAGACCCAAGCUUUGCAGUCCCUUUUCCUGUUGACUUGAAGUCGUCUGGCAGGUUAAAGAAUUAGUGGGACAUGCAGAAGCUAUGCUGUUUUAUUGCAUUAACCCUUCUUGUUAAACUGGAGAUUUUGGAAACUGAAAUCAAGCUACACCGUAAUCUGAAAGCUGGCAGACUAAGAGGACCCUGAGAGAUAGGAUGGCAGCAGUGCAGCAGGGUGAUUUGUACACACUGAGGUGACGCCGGGCUUCUCUUUGAGAACCACGUUUGAAUUCCUGGGAUGGGCAUUUGGAUGGGCAUGAAUGGGCAUGAAUGGCUACAAGAGCAGAAGGAAAAGGGAAGAUUUAUCUUGCACUUGCUCUAUGAUCUCCUGAGAUGGCAUUAGUUCUGGUGCUGCCCUCAUCAGAGCAAGCCCAUGGAAGCCAGUCCUGCUGGAACUUGAGGCCCCUAAAGACAUUUCAAGGAAUGCAAAUUUUGAACAUAAAGCAACAGACAGAAUUGGCCAAAUUAUGUCUAAAAUGGGAUUUGAGCUGCUGGAUUAUUCAGAUUCCUUGGAGAUGCCUCAGUUCUGCAUUUCCUGAUGUGUGUGUGCAUGGACAGAGCUCAGCUGCGAGGUGGCCGUACACACCGCUCUGUUCCUACCCCUGCGUAACACUCUAUUCAAAUAAAGAAGUCCCAAAUGAAGCAGAAUUCCGGAUGAACUGGAGAAAAAUGUCUGCCUCGUGUUCUGAAGGAUGCCUGCUGCAAAUAUGCUGCCCUUCAUCUUCCUGUAUCAAAUCUUGA
rnacentral:lncRNA from 1 species